GACGAACGCUGGCGGCGUGCUUAACACAUGCAAGUCGAACGGAAAGGCCCUGCUUUUGUGGGGUGCUCGAGUGGCGAACGGGUGAGUAACACGUGAGUAACCUGCCCUUGACUUUGGGAUAACUUCAGGAAACUGGGGCUAAUACCGGAUAGGAGCUCCUGCUGCAUGGUGGGUGUUGGAAAGUUUCGGCGGUUGGGGAUGGACUCGCGGCUUCUCAGCUUGUUGGUGGGGUAGUGGCUUACCAAGGCUUUGACGGGUAGCCGGCCUGAGAGGGUGACCGGGGACAUGGGGACUGAGAGACGGCGCAGAAGGCUACGGGAGGCAGCAGUGGGGAAUAUUGCACAAUGGGCGGAAGCCUGAUGCAGCAACGCCGCGUGCGGGAUGACGGCCUUCGGGUUGUAAACCGCUUUCGACUGUGACGAAGCGGGAGUGACGGUAAUGGGUAAAGAAGCACCGGCUAACUACGUG
rnacentral:rRNA from 1 species